GCGAGGGAUCAUAAAGGCAGCUGACCCUGCUGACACAGCUAGACAAUACCGAGUCCAGGGGUGGGAGGCCUAUAAAGAAAGCUGCAUAUGAGCUUUCUGUCCAAGUUAUGAAUAAAGCUUUCCAUAAAGUAUUUCAGUGCCUAUCCUUUUUCUGGCCUGACCCUUUUGUUCUAUCAUUUUCUCUGGCUGGAGUGACUCCAUGAGAAAGGGUUUUGUGCCGUGUAGUUAUUUAUUGUGCUGGAACAUUAUUGUGUGAGUAACUGGUGAUUCUGUAUGUCAGGAUGGCCAAAACAUUUUGCAUUGUAGAAUCCCAUUUUACUAGAUAA
rnacentral:misc_RNA from 1 species